rnacentral:misc_RNA from 1 species
GAUGAAGAACGUAGUGAAAUGCGAUAAGUAAUGCGAAUUGCAGAAUUUCCGUGAGUCAUCGAAUCUUUGAACGCACAUUGCGCCCAUUGGCAUUCCGAUGGGCAUGCCUGUUCGAGCGUCAUUAUCCUCCCUCAAACCCCUGGGUUUGGUGUUGGACUGUGUGGUGCCUGGCACCACUGGUCUCAAAGACAAUGACGGCGUCCGUGGGACCCUCGGUGCAACGAGCUUUUCGAAGCACGCGUCGAGUGGACAGUCUCUCCGGGCCGGUCACCUCUCCAAUUUUUCUCAGGUUGACCUCGGAUCAGGUAGGAAUACCCGCUGAACUUAAGCAUAUCAAUAAGCGGAGGA